CAGAUCUUUUCUUCAAAAGAAACCUGAGUGGUCUCACAGGAGUUUGGAGUAAGAUUCAUACCUGCUUCACCAGUGAUUUUCAAAGGAGGCAAAUCCUAUUUGAAGCUAAAGUCACGUAAAGAGAUUUGGAAUGAGGAAACAAAUUAUAGCAGCCUGCAAGUUGUAGAAUGAAGAACUGCAAAUGUAAAGCACUGAACUCUGUUAUGGAUAGAUUUACCAAAGAGAAUUACUCUGUACAACAUGAAUAAUGUAGUUCAGAAGGAAGCCCAUAUUCCAGGCUUCCUCGGUUGCGCUGUUUUACUGAGGUUGUGUGGAGUCAACAAGUCAUGGAUAAAGAACUCCCGAAAGGCAGCCCCAGAGAGACCGCACUGAACAUCAAGAAAUCAGACAAAUCCUUCAAACGCAAGAAGCCCACCAAAAAUGUGCUGGUCUUUUUAAUCAACAGACAACUGGGCAGGCACAGAAGUGACAUCGACCUGUCAAGGUGGCUGUGGAUGCUGUCAUAAAGCAACUCCAGGGUAGACAUGGCCUUGGACAAAAAGUCAUGUGGCUUAUGUGCUGAGGCCUGCCCAGAAUUUUGAGAAAUUACAUAUAAUUAGAACAAUAAACUCUCCUCCCAUGUUUGAGUCAUUAAA